UACGUAGGGUGCAAGCGUUGUCCGGAAUUAUUGGGCGUAAAGAGCUCGUAGGCGGUCUGUCGCGUCUGCUGUGAAAACUCAGGGCUUAACCCUGAGCUUGCAGUGGGUACGGGCAGACUAGAGUGCGGCAGGGGAGACUGGAAUUCCUGGUGUAGCGGUGAAAUGCGCAGAUAUCAGGAGGAACACCGGUGGCGAAGGCGGGUCUCUGGGCCGUAACUGACGCUGGAGGAGCGAAAGCAUGGGGAGCGAACAGG
rnacentral:rRNA from 1 species